UACGGGGGGUGCAAGAGUUGUUCGGAAUCAUUGGGCGUAAAGAGCGUGUAGGCGGUUGGACAAGUCAGAUGUGAAAGCCCUGGGCUCAACCCAGGAAGUGCAUUUGAAACUGUUCAGCUAGAGUAAGGGAGAGGAAAGUGGAAUUCCUGGUGUAGAGGUGAAAUUCGUAGAUAUCAGGAGGAACACCGGUGGCGAAGGCGACUUUAUGGCCCUAUACGGAAGCGGAGACGAGAGAGCGGGGGUAGCACACAGGCUGCGAUAACACCGUAGUCC
rnacentral:rRNA from 1 species